UUGGUUGCUAACAGAAUGAAAGGAUCUAACGAAGACAUGAAGAUAUCUCCACACUUUCAUAUUGAUUGUGUCAAAGACUCUGAUGUAGGGCGGAUAAAAAACAAACAGACAAAAUUCCUUUUUUCGCUCAUAGCAGCCAUAGUAACUGCGGUCGCUGUGACGACAGUUGCAACGUCAACAACGUUAAAGAUUAUAUACAGGCAAAACGAGGUUGUUUGUAUUAUCCAAGCGUUUGUACACUAAGGGAUGAAAUUAAAAAUUCCUUCAAACCACAGGUUGA